AGCUGAGCUUGCUUAGCUAACCGGACAGUGGCGAACGGCUGAGUAACACGUAGGUAACCUGUCCCUAAGUAGGGGAUAACUCUGAGAAAUCGGAGCUAAUACCUUAUGUGGUCCUUUAUCAAAAGGUGAAGGGUUAAAGCCUUCGGGCGCUUGGGGAGGGGCUUGCGUCCUAUCAGGUAGUUGGUGGGGUAACGGCUCACCAAGCCGAUGACGGGUAGCUGGUCUGAGAGGAUGUCCAGCCAGACGGGGACUGAGACACGGCCCCGACUCCUACGGGAGGCAGCAGCAAGGAAUAUUGUGCAAUGGGCGAAAGCCUGACACAGCGACGUUGCGUGGGGGAAGAAGGCCUUCGGGUUGUAAACCCCUUUUCUCAGGGAAGAUAAUGACGGUACCUGAGGAAUAAGUCUCGGCCAACUACGUGCCAGCAGCCGCGGUAAUACGUAGGAGGCGAGUGUUAUCCGGAUUUACUGGGCGUAAAGAGGGCGUAGGCGGUUCUUCAAGUCGGAUGUAAAAUCUCCCGGCUUAACUGGGAGGAGUCAUUCGAUACUGUUGGGCUAGAGGGCAGCAAAGGGAGGUGGAAUUCCCGGUGUAGUGGUGAAAUGCGUAGAUAUCGGGAGGAACACCAGUGGCGAAGGCGGCCUCCUGGGCUGUUUCUGACGCUGAGGCUCUAAAGCGUGGGGAGCGAACAGGAUUAGAUACCCUGGUAGUCCACGCUGUAAACUAUGGACACUAGGUAUAGGGAGUAUCGACCCUCUCUGUGCCGAAGCUAACGCUUUAAGUGUCCCGCCUGGGGACUACGGUCGCAAGACUAAAACUCAAAGGAAUUGACGGGGGCCCGCACAAGCAGCGGAGCGUGUGGUUUAAUUCGAUGCAACACGAAGAACCUUACCAGGGCUUGACAUGUCGGAAGUAGUGAACCGAAAGGGGAAUGACCUGUCAAGUCAGGAGCCGUCACAGGUGCUGCAUGGCUGUCGUCAGCUCGUGCCGUGAGGUGUUGGGUUAAGUCCCGCAGCGAGCGCAACCCUCGUUGCCAGUUAAAUUCUCUGGCGAGACUGCCCCGCAAAACGGGGAGGAAGGUGGGGACGACGUCAAGUCAGCAUGGCCUUUAUGCCCUGGGCGACACACACGCUACAAUGGGUAGUACAAUGGGCAGCGAAGGAGCAAUCCGGAGCUAAUCCAAAAAGCUAUCCUCAGUUCGGAUUGCAGGCUGAACCCGCCUGCAUGAAGCUGGAG
rnacentral:rRNA from 1 species